GAUGAACGCUGGCGGCGUGCCUAACACAUUCAAGUCGAACGGAGUUAUGGAGUAGCUUGCUACGAAAUAACUUAGUGGCGGACGGGUGAGUAACGCGUGAGGAACCUGCCUACAUCAGGGGGACAACAGUUAGAAAUGACUGCUAAUACCGCAUAACCCGCUAAGGUCGCAUGACCUGGACGGAAAAGAUUUAUCGGUACGAGAUGGACCCGCGUCUGAUUAGCUAGUUGGUGAGGUAACGGCCCACCAAGGCGACGAUCAGUAGCCGGCCUGAGAGGGUGACCGGCCACAUUGGGACUGAGACACGGCCCAAACUCCUACGGGAGGCAGCAGUGGGGAAUAUUGCACAAUGGGGGAAACCCUGAUGCAGCAACGCCGCGUGAGUGAAGAAGUAUUCGGUAUGUAAAGCUCUAUCAGCAGGGAAGAAAAUGACGGUACCUGACUAAGAAGCCCCGGCUAAACUACGUGCCAGCAGCCG
rnacentral:rRNA from 1 species